GAUGAAUGCUGGCGGCGUGCCUAACACAUGCAAGUCGAGCGGCAGCGCGGUUUUCGGACUGGCGGCGAGCGGCGGACGGCUGAGUAACGCGUGGGAACAUGCCCCAAAGUGAGGGAUAACCGCCCGAAAGGGUGGCUAAUACCGCAUACGAUCUUCGGAUUAAAGGAUUUAUCCGCUUUGGGAGUGGCCUGCGUACGAUUAGAUUGUUGGUGAGGUAAUGGCUCACCAAGUCGACGAUCGUUAACUGGUCUGAGAGGAUGAUCAGUCAGACUGGAACUGAGAUACGGUCCAGACUCCUACGGGAGGCAGCAGUGAGGAAUCUUCCACAAUGGGCGAAAGCCUGAUGGAGCAACGCCGCGUGCAGGAUGAAGGCCUUCGGGUCGUAAACUGCUUUUAUAAGUGAAGAAUAUGACGGUAACUUAUGAAUAAGCACCGGCUAACUACGUGCCAGCAGCCGCAGUA
rnacentral:rRNA from 1 species